ensembl:misc_RNA 7SK 7SK RNA
GGUUGUGAGGUGGAUCUGUGAUGUCUGUCACCCACUGCUCACUUGACUCUGCUGAUAUGGCUGGCGAGGCAGGUCUUUUCUUUCUCGCUCACCACUCCAUGUUUGUCCCUCCUGAAGCUGCCUAAUGGAGAAAAAACAACCACCCUUGAUAGAGGACCAUUUCCUCAGCAAAGGGUAUAUGAGUAGCAGAGCUCCCCUGCUAGAACCUCCAAACAAGUUCUCAAAAGACCAGAAGUACUUUUCUAUGAGAAUCUAGUCUAAUUCAGUUUCUGAGACAUUAUAGCUUUUAAGAAAGAAUUUCUAAAUAUACAGGUGCAUUUUUCUCU